UACGAAGGGGGCGAGCGUUGUUCGGAAUCACUGGGCGUAAAGGGUGCGUAGGUGGUGAGGUAAGUCGGAUGUGAAAUCUCCGAGCUCAACUCGGAAACUGCAUUGGAAACUACCUUGCUCGAGGGUUGGAGGGGGGACUGGAAUGCUUGGUGUAGCAGUGAAAUGCGUAGAUAUCAAGCGGAACACCAGUGGCGAAGGCGAGUCCCUGGACAACUCCUGACACUGAUGCACGAAAGCUAGGGGAGCAAACAGG
rnacentral:rRNA from 1 species